rnacentral:rRNA from 1 species
GACGAACGCUGGCGGCGUGCUUAACACAUGCAAGUCGAACGGAAAGGCCCUGCUUUUGUGGGGUGCUCGAGUGGCGAACGGGUGAGUAACACGUGAGUAACCUGCCCUUGACUUUGGGAUAACUUCAGGAAACUGGGGCUAAUACCGGAUAGGAGCUCCUGCUGCAUGGUGGGGGUUGGAAAGUUUCGGCGGUUGGGGAUGGACUCGCGGCUUAUCAGCUUGUUGGUGGGGUAGUGGCUUACCAAGGCUUUGACGGGUAGCCGGCCUGAGAGGGUGACCGGCGACAUGGGGACUGAGAUAGGGCGCAGUCUCCUACGGGAGGCAGCAGUGGGGAAUAUUGCACAAUGGGCGGAAGCCUGAUGCAGAAACGCCGCGUGCGGGAUGACGGCCUUCGGGUUGUAAACCGCUUUCGCCUGUGACGAAGCGUGAGUGACGGUAAUGGGUAAAGAAGCACCGGCUAACUACGUG